CAGAGAGUGUGUGCCAGCCGCCGCGGUAAUACGGAAGGUCCGGGCGUUAUCCGGAUUUAUUGGGUUUAAAGGGAGCGUAGGCCGGAGAUUAAGCGUGUUGUGAAAUGUAGAUGCUCAACAUCUGAACUGCAGCGCGAACUGGUUUCCUUGAGUACGCACAAAGUGGGCGGAAUUCGUGGUGUAGCGGUGAAAUGCUUAGAUAUCACGAAGAACUCCGAUUGCGAAGGCAGCUCACUGGAGCGCAACUGACGCUGAAGCUCGAAAGUGCGGGUAUCGAACAGG
rnacentral:rRNA from 1 species